CCAUCAGGCCCCGGACGCCCCGAGGCCGCCUCCCGCGCGUGCGCAAAACACCAUCUCCGCAUCUGUCGGUCCAAAGUGUACGCGUGCGCAGUGCGGCCCGCCUCCUUAGUCUGGUUGCUAAGCAACCUCCCUCGCCGCUUUUGGUAAGCAAUUCUCCGCCUCUGAGUGUAGGCGACCUUCCGGGAUCGCUAUUCCCAGCCUGCCUGAGAAUUUAGCCAUGUGAUACCUAUUGCUGGAACUGAGCUGGGGACGCGCUAAAUAACUCUCAGUUGAUAACUGUUCCUUGCCGUCUCAUCCUGCGUUUGAUCAUCUCCUAUCUAGUCUGGAACACAGAGGUUCAUUUGGCUCCAAGUCAAAAUAAAAAAUAUAAAAAGAAGGUUGGAAGACAGUUCAAGGAAAUUGUUCAGGAAAUAGACAAUAGACCUAGGCCUGGACCAAAGAAAAGAGAAGAAAGUUAGAGAUUCAACCCCGAAGUUUUGACCUCUGGAGAGUGAUGUUCCAGAAAAAGGAACUCUAAGAUGGAGUCCGAAUUGGCAGGAGAAAUCGAGGAGUCCGCACACACCCGGGGUAGGAGGCGCGCUGGCGGCCGGGUGCUCAGCGGACGCCUAGGUCUCGGGUGCCCCCUACCGUCUGCGUUCAGUCACUGCGUCUCCCCCACCGUGGGCACGCCGGCUCCCUCUGCCCCGGGGGAUUGGAGCGCGCCCACUCAGGAAACGAGCCCUCGAUUCUGCCCGGCUUGUGUCAGGGCUAGACCUCUAAGGGAUGAUCUGUCAACUUCGACAAACCUGGAUCGACCAUCUACUAUGUGCCAGUCACUUCUAGGUGCUGCAGGUGCAAAAUACAAGUGGCUGCCCUCCUGCGGUCACGAAAUUAAGAAAGCUCCGGACGAAAUAUGAAGCAGGAAAAAGCAGGGAAUUCUGAAUGCGGGUUGCGAUUUUAAAUAGGGGGGUCAGGGAAGCCUCGCUGAGUAUGUGACAUUUACGCAUAGACAUGAGGACACGAGGGAGAGAGCCCUGGCAGUGUCUGGGGGAAGAGGGUCCAGGAAGAGGGAACAGAAGUGUAGAAGCCCCAGGGCAGGAGCAUGGCCUGGUGAGCAAGAUCCAGGAAGGAGGGUGAUGGGGCUGUGUCAGGGGGCACCGGGAAGGGGAGCAGGUUAGGUCGGGGUCUUUCGGAUGGGUGUUAUUCUGCGUGUGGGGUUGCCACGUAGGCACAGGAUGGGCAGUUAAAGGCGAACUUAAGGUGUUUAUGUAGAUAAACAACUACAUAUUGUCUGGGACAUACACUAAAUUAUUUAGGGCUGUUAAAUCUGGCAGCCCUAGCAGGGCUGGGCCAGGAGGGGAGGGUUUGAACAGAGAAAGUACUUGGUCUGAUAUGUUUUAAAAUGUGAUUUUGCAAUUAGCUCAUUCAUUCAUCUAUUUAUUAUUAUUAUUAUUAUUUAAGUAUAAUCUACCCCCCAUGCAGGGCUCAAACUCAUGACCCCAAGAUCAAGAGUCACAUGCCCUCCUAACUGAGCCAGCCAGGCGCCCUGACUCCUAUUUAUUACACUCCUAUUAUUUCAGAGAGUGUGCUAGGUGCGGGACAUUCAGCGACAAGCAAAAUGGACAGGGUUGCCGACACUUCACUUUGCCCAGAGCGCUCUACCUGUUUGGGCCUAUACUUGCCCAUCCUUGACCUUCAGAAUGCAGUCAAGUUUCCCAGUCUUCAAAACCCUGCCCCAAACUUCCACCCCUGGCACUGUUUACUUGCCUACACUCAGCGCGAUGCCUAAGUGUCUCCACCCAUACUAACUUAGCACCUGUCUUUGCUAAACUGUGGGCUUGGUGAGGACAGGAUCAGGUCUGCUUGGCUUACAGCUGAUUCCCUGUGGUUAGGGCACUGCCAGGCUUAAUGAGUAGGUGUUGACUAAACCUGACUCAACACCUCCUUUUAAUAACAUCUGUUCUGUUAAGAUCAGCUAGACUGGGCUUCUGCUGAUUGCAACAAGGGACGUUGAUGAUAAUCUGCUUUUUUUUUUUUUUUUUUUUGAGUAACCAGACCAGAGGGACAAUGUGAAAAGCUGGGGCUCCCUUCUCCUACUCCCAGAGCACAGGAGGUCAGGGACUCAGAGACCAAAAAGCCCCCCGGGGGACAGUAUCUUUUCAGACACUAACCCUUUGGAGUGGGUACUACCCGUUGCCCACCCAGCAACUGCUUCAUGAUUUAAUCAUGUGCUAGUUAACAAGAGAGGGCAAAAUGAAGACAUUUGCCAGACAUCAAAAAAAGGGCGGGUGGUGGGUGUGGGGGGAAACAAUGGCUUAUCCACCUAAGGAAACAUUUUAAAAAUGACAUUUGCAAUUGCUUAGGGGUAUGAUAAUGAUAGAAUAUUAAGUACAAAAAAGUAAGAUAAAAGAUCAUAUUCUUUUUUAACAAGGUCGAACUGAAUGCCAAAUAUAUAUUUUUAAAUAAGCCUGUGCAGUGAAAAAGGAUUGUCAGGAAAGAUACCAACCAACGCUGCCUUGUUUUGGGGCCGUGGGGGAUUCGGUGGUUCUUUUGUUCUCUAUCUGGUUUUCUGCAUUCUCUAAGCUUUAUUUAGCCACACCAAAGCUCUUGAUACACGAAGUUUCCACGCCGGAAGGAUUCUCGAGAUACAUAAAAAAAGCAUUGAGUUGCAAUGUUUGAAAAUCCUACUGCUGAGCCAAGCAUCCCAUGUAUAAUUUGCAUUCCCCCGUGAAAACCUUCGAUUCGUGGUGAGGAGCCACUUUAUUCUCUUUAAAGAGGCUCUGUGUUUUCUUGUGGCCAAUAGGGAUGACAGCGGGAAUGACGACAGUUGCAGAGAGAAUUGAAGGCUCGAAGUCCGCCGGCGGCCCCGCGCAGGCGUAGAAACCUCAUAGAUCUGAUGGAGGCGCCCGAACGUCAAGUGGCCGGGCUGUGAGCGGCGAGCCGCAGAAUCGUUCUGGACUCGGCCCCGAAGUUGGCGCAGGCAGCCACUGGGGAGAAAGGGGCAGGAUCCCGCGCAAGUUCGUCCCUCCAAGUCCCCUCCCGCUGUGCGCACCAGCAGCUGUCCUUGGUGUGUUUGUUUGUUUGUUUGUUUGUUUGUUUUUUAGGAUGCUCUCAGAUGCCGCUGCCAGUUGCUUCCUAAUGCAGAGCUUCUGAGGACUGUCGGUGGAGUCCCGGAUUUUCAUGGUGUUCUUAGAAUUGAAAAUCCGGGUCUGGACUUAAUUCAUUCCACAAAUGCUUAGGGAGCGCCUUCCUACUGCAGGCCCUUCGCGAUUCUAGAAGCAGAACAGAAGACACAAACCCCAACCCCCAUGGAGACAAUGACCAGCCAACACCUGUCAUGUCUUUAGUGAGACACAGUUGUGGAAGCAUCUGGAAACCUUCUCUUGCUACUUUCUUCCUUUUCAGAGAGAUCUUAGGCUCCAUAUUUUUUUCCUCUUGGUUCUGCCAUUUGCAGCCAGAAGGCAACUGGGUGAAUUUCUCACUCGUGGUUCAAGUCUCCGCAAGUAUUCAGGCAUGUGUGGUUUAACACAAAAGCCAGUUAUUUUAGGGCUAAUGCCAUCUUAUAUCAGGGUCUAGUAGGAGCUCUAGCCAUGUUUGAAAAGUAUCCAAUGAGAACAUCUGCUAAACAUUCACUCUUUUUCUCUCAUAUGUGUUAAGCUCUGGUAUAACUCAGUAACAGCCCAAGUCCGUAGACCAGAGUCAUAAAGCCCUUGGCACGAGCUCAGUGUGUAGUGAAAGCACUCAUUAAAUGCCAGCGAUGGGACCCUUGUUCUUCCAAAGAGGGAGGAGAACCCGGGGCUCUUGACACUGAGUAUAGACCGUUUGGAAGUCACACCUUGGAUAUCUGUGUUGGGUACCUUGUUAGAUGCAGGGACCUGGCAGAAGAGGAGCCAGCUGAGAUUGCUGUCCUCAGAGCAGCACACUGUCCCAAACAAGGCUGGAAGGGGUCCAGAAUACACCUGUGUGGCAUAAAAAUUAUUUUGAGCAGGAGGCAUUUGAACUGAAAAGUCUUACCUGCCUAAAAGUAG